GUGGCUGUGGCUCAGUGGUAGAGCGCUUGCCUAGCAUGCUUGAGGCACUGGGUUCUAUUCUCAGCACCACA
rnacentral:tRNA from 1 species